CCAACUGUCCAUGCGCAGGCCAUCUUUUUCCUUUCCCCAAAAGCAAUUAAAAUUAAAGAACAGUGACCCCUUUUUAAAAAAAAAAAAAACUUUUAGAACACCCAAAUCCCUUUUUAAAAAAAAAACUUUUUUUUUCUUAAAACAUUCACCCCUUUUAUUCAUUCGGCAGAAAUAAAGAGAGCAGCCCCUUCUCCUCAACUUCUUUUCUCUGCUAGGUUUUCUACGUUCCCCCUUUUGAACUGUCACCAAAUCAUCGUGAACCCGCCGUGGCUUCCAUUGUAAACGGUGGUUCAAAGCUUCAUAGAACCGGGUUUUUGGCACUUUUAAAGGGAGAUUCAAUGGUGAGGCCUCUCUAUACCGAAGAAAACAAAGGAGAAAUAAUCCCCCACCUUCUCCUUGCGUUGAUUCUAACGAAGGAAAAGAAAACUCCGGCGACGCAACCCCGGGGUGGAUCCGGUGCAAGUGGAGCAAGUGGAGGUGUGGGUGGUGACAGACUUUGGUGGCUAAUUUUUUUUUAGUUUUUUUUUUUGUGUUUGGGUUGGGCAAGUGUAAUGGGAUUAGGUUGGGCCAAAAUUAAGUUUGGGCUUGUAACUGGGUAAUAGGUUAGGUUUAAUUCGGGUUUGAUUUUAUUGGGCCCCGGACAAAAUUUGGGCCUUACACAUAUAAUAUGCAAAGUCAAGUCAUUAUCUACUGGUCAUGGUUGAAUGAUAAAUUCUAUUUAAAAUGGGCCAUUAUUGGUGGUUUCAUUGAA